GAGUACAUAGAGUACAUAGAAGAGUGAGCUCUGAAAGAACUCUCACAUGGACCCCCAGAAAGAGGAGUACUCAACGCCUGCUGCACAGAAGGCAUCAGCAGUUAAGUACUGGCUAGAAAAGCGGAGUCCAUCAAAGGAGAGGACCACAGUGGUAGCUGCCUGUUACAAGCUAUUGAGGCACUCCAGAGUGACGGCAUGUGAUCCCCCUGACACAAGAAACAGGCCCAGAUAACACACCGUUCAGACCGACAGCAGUUCUGGUUAUGCUGCAGUACAUCAGAAGAGUGCUCUUAUCCAUCCACAGUUCUUAUCACAGUUACUUAUGCAUAUAUUCAUUUUUUAUAUAAAAGAAUCUUGAAUCGGUCACUUAAAUAUUGAAUCUCAAUAAUAAAAAAUACUAAAAGUAUA
rnacentral:lncRNA from 1 species